UGCGAGUCUUUGUAGCAAUACAAGGCAGACGGCUCAGUAACGCGUAGUCAAUCUACCCUAUGGACGAGGAUAACCUCGGGAAACUGAGAAUAAUACUCGAUAGAACAUUAUGCCUGGAAUGGUUUAUGUUCCAAAUGAUUUAUUGCCAUAGGAUGGGACUGCGGCCUAUCAGUUUGUUGGUGAGGUAAUGGCCCACCAAGACUAUUACAGGUACGGGCUCUGAGAGGAGUGGCCCGGAGAUGGGUACUGAGACACGGACCCAGGCCCUAUGGGGCGCAGCAGGCGAGAAAACUUUGCAAUGUGCGAAAGCACGACAAGGUUAAUCCGAGUGGUUUCUGCUAAAGGAACCUUUUGACAGUCCUAAAAACACUGUUGAAUAAGGGGUGGGCAAGUUCUGGUGUCAGCCGCCGCGGUAAAACCAGCACCUCAAGUGGUCAGGAUGAUUAUUGGGCCUAAAGCAUCCGUAGCCGGCUCUGUAAGUUUUCGGUUAAAUCUGUACGCUUAACGUACAGGCUGCUGGGAAUACUGCA
rnacentral:rRNA from 1 species